GGGUACAGUUCACUGCAUUUACUUACACAGACAUUAGAAAACAUUUUUAAAACAGAAUACAAACUUGGCUGUAGAUUACAUUUGUAGAUUAGAAAGCUUCUGCACUGAGAUCCUACCUGCCGUUAUGUAAAGGAAAAGAGAACCAGGGGGGAGAGGAUACAUAGCUGGCUAAAUAAACAGUAAAUGAGCUGUUUAAACAGUUGUAUCUAUACACACAAGUAAUAAAAGCAUCAGGCACCUGGUGCAAAGCUAUUAGGUCCUAAUUCUGACAACAAUAUACAUCAUUAUAGUGGGAUCUGAUAAAGAGCAAACACUGGAGGCAUUACAUGUCUUUAGAAGAAUCAGGCUUCCUACCUUAGCAAGAGUGAUAGAAGGUCUCUUUGUAGAGGUGAAGAAAUGUGGUGUAGCAGUGGUGUAGCUGGCUGGAUCCUGUUUUCCCUGUCUCAGGAAGCAUGAUGCACCUCCCCAGCUCCUAUUCAGAGAAAUCUGCUUGUCGCUGAUUUGCUAUUCAACAUUUAAAGGAAAGAG